GAUGAACGCUGGCGGCGUGCUUAACACAUGCGAGUCGAACGAAGCACUUUAUUUGAUUUCCUUCGGGACUGAUUAUUUUGUGACUGAGUGGCGGACGGGUGAGUAACGCGUGGGUAACCUGCCUUGUACAGGGGGAUAACAGUUGGAAACGGCUGCUAAUACCGCAUAAGCGCACAGCAUCGCAUGAUGCAGUGUGAAAAACUCCGGUGGUAUAAGAUGGACCCGCGUUGGAUUAGCUAGUUGGUGAGGUAACGGCCCACUAAGGCGACGAUCCAUAGCCGACCUGGGAGGGUGACCGGCCACAUUGGGACUGAGACCCGGACCAAAACCCGACGGGAGGGAGGGGUGGGGAAAAAUGGACAAUGGGGGAAAGCCUGAUGCAGCGACGCCGCGUGAGCGAAGAAGUAUUUCGGUAUGUAAAGCUCUAUCAGCAGGGAAGAUAAUGACGGUACCUGACUAAGAAGCACCGGCUAAAUACGUG
rnacentral:rRNA from 1 species